rnacentral:sRNA from 1 species
CCCACCCCACCCCCGCCACGGUCCUCGCCCCAUCCGCCGCUCUCGUGCGUGUGUGUGCGCGCGCACUAGGCGCCAGGCACGCGGAAAGGUCGUCAGCUCUACUUUGUUGCCAACGCAACAUCAGGUUUUGGCUCUGCCGCAGUGACAUCACUGCACAGCACUGCCACCACCACCUUGUUUUUGCUCGGUGGACCUCAAAGGUUGAAGCCCGCGACACUCUUCUGGCCGCAACAUAGUCUGCACCCAGGCUCACCGACCCAGACCACCCAGUGGUGUGCGACCCUGGCCUUUGAUAAAGUUGUUGUGGUGCUGCUUGGGCCAGAGUGCUAAAUCACCAAAGGUGCAACCCCUUGGUGCACAUAAAUGUGCAGCUCAAUGGCAAAUAUGGCCAACAUGGACGAAGGCCUGACAGACCACCAACUCUGAAUCUUCCCUUUGGGUGAUUGUGUGACACUGGGCGAUGGAUUUAUGCUCUGGAUCUCCUUUGUCCUUCUGUAAAAUGGAGUUGCUAUCAUGGCUAUCUUAUAGGACUGUGGUGAGGACACACACGACAGUGCAGUAAGCCCCAGGGGAAACAAUUGUGUUCUUCUUGCAACAAGGGAGCUGAGACCCAGCAUUGACACAAUUUAUCAAGGUCAGUAAUUGGUCAAAAGUCACUCAUUAGGUAUUCACUGUAUAACUUUAAUUCUGCUUUGUGUACAGUAGUGUCUCGCCUGCAUGUAUGUAUGUGUACACACCAUAUGCCUGUAAUACCCAUGGUGGUCAGAAGAGGGUGCUAGAUCUUGGAAGUGGAAUUACAGAUGAUUUAAGUCAGAGUUUUGGGAUCUGAGUCCAGGUCCCCCGCAAGAGCAGAAAGUGCUCCUGACACUGUUUUUGUGGGUUUUGUGGGAUCCAUUUGUCUGUUUGUUUUUUGGAAAUUUAUAGUCAAAAAGUAUAGGUAGUAAAAUACAUGUUUUAAAAGCAGGGAAUGGAUGAUGGUGGCGGUGUUUUAAGGACUUGCACAGCAUGUGCAGUCUUAAGGGAAGGACAGGGCCUGCUGACUCUGAAGGAGUCGCUGCUAACACCAUGUUGGAAACAGGUGGUCAUCACCAAGGGGCCUCCCAGGGUGAAUGUCUGUCCAUCCGUCCAUAAUCACAGAAUGCAGGUCUAUGGCCGUAAGCAGAGCAGGGAGGAGCACUGGGCGGUGUAGACAGGGUCUGGGAGAUUUCCAUCCUUUAUAUGAGGAAGCAGAUGUGGAGGCAUGGGGCUCUUGCUGUCUCUGUCAAGGGACACACACCUCCAACUCAGCAGCAUUCUGACUACAGACAGCAAGAAGUGUGGCCACGAGCCAAGCUGGGACCAAAUUUAUUCCUGGAAACUUAAAUCUCCAAUGAGCUACUUCUCAGCCUGAACAUCUGUUUGUUCAGGGUUCCCCUCAAUUCUAGGAACCACCUUGCAAUCUGUCCUCUCUCCAUGACUGAGGCAAGGCAGGGAGUCAGGGGAGAAAUGAAGAGUUCAGCUCUGGAACUGGGUCCAUGGGACACCCCUCUGAUGACCACAGGCCAAUGGGACACCCCUCUGAUGACCACAGGUCAAUGGGACACCCCUCUGACGGCCACGGGCCAAUGGGACACCCCUCUGAUGACCAGCAGCUCCAGCAAGUACGAACCAGAGUGAAAAGAAAUGUCUGAGUUGAAAUCAUCAGCCUGUGAACUGUGGCUGAAUCACAUAGGGUGUGGGAGUGGGGAUGGUUUCCCAGGAAAGCAAGAACAUGUGAUUCCAGAAGCAACAGCUUAAGCAGUCAGAACAGGGUGAGAACCUUUAGUCAAAGCCAAAGUAAUUAGUAAUUAGCUAGGCUGUGAACAAUGAACAGCUGAUGGUUGAUGACCUUCAGGACAGUGUCACCCUGACAGUAAGACAGAGCCGGGUUGUGGGACCAUGAAAGGUAAAUGGUCCCGCUGAGCUAAGGCUGAAGGGACAUCCCCUGAAGGGACGUCAGGAGUUUUGCCUGCUCCCAGGCACCAGGCUCCUGUCACUAGCUGCAGCCCAUCAGUCACAUAAGGGAAACACCCCAAGCUCCUCC